GGUCGGAUGGCCGAGCGGUUAGGCUGAACUUCGCAAAAGAUCAUAGAGUGGUUCGAAUCCACUUCCGACCUCCU
rnacentral:tRNA from 1 species